UGGCCAUAUUCUAUUGAAACACCAGUUCCUAUAUGAUCGCCAAAGUUAAGCAAUGUUGAACUAGGUCAGUACCUAGAUGGAUGACCAGUUGAGAAUACCAGGUGCU